UGAUCUAUGACUGAAUAGGGUGAAGUCAGGGGGAAACUCUGAUGGAAGCUCGAAGGGGUUCUGACGUGCAAAUCGAUCUUCAAACUUGGGUAUAGGGGCGAAAGACUAAUCGAACCAUCAAGUAGCUGGUUCCCUCCGAAGUUUCCCUCAGGAUAGCUGGAACUUAAGAAGAAAUAGUUUUAUCAGGUAAAGCGAAUGAUUAGAGGCUUUGGGGAAGAAACUUCCUCGACCUAUUCUCAAACUUUAAAUAGGUAAGAUUUGAAGGAUACUUAGGUGAUCUUUCAAUCUCUUGAAUAUAAAGUUCUUAGUGGGCCAUUUUUGGUAAGCAGAACUGGCGAUGUGGGAUGAACCGAACGUUAAGUUAAAGUGCCAAAUAAUACGCUCAUGAGAUACCAUAAAAGGUGUUGGUUCAUUUUGACAGCAGGACGGUGGCCAUGGAAGUCGGAACCCCGCUAAGGAGUGUGUAACAACUCACCUGCCGAAUGAACUAGCCCUGAAAAUGGAUGGCGCUUAAGCGUAUAACUUAUACUUAACCCUUACUUGAAUCAUC
rnacentral:rRNA from 1 species